UGAACGCUAGCGACAGGCUUAACACAUGCAAGUCGAGGGGUAACAGGGUAGCAAUACCGCUGACGACCGGCGCACGGGUGAGUAACGCGUAUGCAACCUGCCUAUAACUGGGGAAUAGCUCCCUGAAAGGGGAAUUAACACCGCAUAACACUAUUGAUUCGCAUGGAUUAGUAGUUAAAUGUAGCGAUACAGGUUAUAGAUGGGCAUGCGUGACAUUAGCUAGUUGGUGAGGUAACGGCUCACCAAGGCUACGAUGUCUAGGGGUUCUGAGAGGAAGGUCCCCCACACUGGUACUGAGACACGGACCAGACUCCUACGGGAGGCAGCAGUGAGGAAUAUUGGUCAAUGGGCGCAAGCCUGAACCAGCCAUGUCGCGUGCAGGAAGACUGCCCUAAUGGGUUGUAAACUGCUUUUAUAGUAGAAGAAACACAUCUACGCGUAGAUGUCUGCCAGUAUACUAUGAAUAAGCAUCGGCUAACUCCGUGCCAGCAGCGGC
rnacentral:rRNA from 1 species